AAGUCGUAACAAGGUUUCCGUAGGUGAACCUGCGGAAGGAUCAUUAGUGAAUUAAACAUGCUUGGUGUCUUCGCUUCGGCAAGACCCUUGCUUAAAUCACAUCCUAACACCUGUGAACUGUAAGACGUAUGAUGAGGUCUUUGGCCAAGUCAUCGUCUGCCCAUUUUUAACAAACAAUUAAUGUAACAAACGUAGUCUUAUUAUAACCUAAUAAAACUUUCAACAACGGAUCUCUUGGCUCUC
rnacentral:misc_RNA from 1 species